AUUGAACGCUGGCGGCAGGCCUAACACAUGCAAGUCGAACGAGUGGCGGACGGGUGAGUAAUGGCGGGGAAACUGCCUGAUGGAGGGGGAUAACUACUGGAAACGGUAGCUAAUACCGCAUAACAUAGGAUGUGCCCAGAUGGGAUUAGCUAGUAGGUGGGGUAAAGGCUUACCUAGGCGAAGCUCCCUAGCUGGUCUGCGAGGAUGACCAGCCACACUGGAACUGAGACACGGUCCAGACUCCUACGGGAGGCAGCAGUGGGGAAUAUUGCACAAUGGGCGAAAGCCUGACGCAGCCAUGCCGCGUGUAUGAAGAAGGCCUUCGGGUUGUAAAGUACUUUCAGCGGUGAGGCGUUACCCGAAGAAUAAGCACCGGCUAACUCCGUGCCAGCAGCCGCGGUAAUAC
rnacentral:rRNA from 1 species